rnacentral:rRNA from 1 species
GUCUAACCUGCCCACUGAAAAUUUAAAUGGCCGCAGUAUUUUAACUGUGCAAAGGUAGCAUAAUCAUUAGUCUUUUAAUUGAGGGCUGGAAUGAAUGGUUGAAUGAGAUAUUAACUGUUUCAAUAUAAUUUUUAGAAUUUUAUAUUUUAGUGAAAAAGCUAAAAUUUUUUUAAAAGACGAGAAGACCCUAUAAAUCUUUAUAUUUUUUGAUUUAUAUAUAUAAAGAUAAUUUUAUUUAUAAAUUUAAAAAUUAUUUUAUUGGGGUGAUAUUAAAAUUUAAUAAACUUUUAAUGUAUAAUGUCCACUAAUGAGUGAAUUAUUGAUCCAUAAUUAAUGAUUAAAAAAUUAAGUUACUUUAGGGAUAACAGCGUAAUUUUUUUGGAGAGUUCUUAUUAAUAAAAAAGAUUGCGACCUCGAUGUUGGAUUAAGAUAUAAAUUUAGGUGUAGUGGCUUAUAUUUU